rnacentral:rRNA from 1 species
CAGGUUUACCUGUGUGACUGCGUACCUUUUGUAUAAUGGGUCAGCGACUUAUAUUCUGUAGCAAGGUUAACCGUAUAGGGGAGCCGGAGGGAAACCGAGUCUUAACCGGGCGUUAAGUUGCAGGGUAUAGACCCGAAACCCGGUGAUCUAGCCAUGGGCAGGUUGAAGGUUGGGUAACACUAACUGGAGGACCGAACCGACUAAUGUUGAAAAAUUAGCGGAUGACCUGUGGCUGGGGGUGAAAGGCCAAUCAAACCGGGAGAUAGCUGGUUCUCCCCGAAAGCUAUUUAGGUAGCGCCUCGUGAAUUCAUCUCCGGGGGUAGAGCACUGUUUCGGCUAGGGGGCCAUCCCGGCUUACCAACCCGAUGCAAACUGCGAAUACCGGAGAAUGUUAUCACGGGAGACACACGGCGGGUGCUAACGUCCGUCGUGAAGAGGGAAACAACCCAGACCGCCAGCUAAGGUCCCAAAGUCAUGGUUAAGUGGGAAACGAUGUGGGAAGGCCCAGACAGCCAGGAUGUUGGCUUAGAAGCAGCCAUCAUUUAAAGAAAGCGUAAUAGCUCACUGGUCGAGUCGGCCUGCGCGGAAGAUGUAACGGGGCUAAACCAUGCACCGAAGCUGCGGCAGCGACACUGUGUGUUGUUGGGUAGGGGAGCGUUCUGUAAGCCUGUGAAGGUGUGUCGUGAGGCAUGCUGGAGGUAUCAGAAGUGCGAAUGCUGACAUAAGUAACGAUAAAGCGGGUGAAAAGCCCGCUCGCCGGAAGACCAAGGGUUCCUGUCCAACGUUAAUCGGGGCAGGGUGAGUCGACCCCUAAGGCGAGGCCGAAAGGCGUAGUCGAUGGGAAACGGGUUAAUAUUCCCGUACUUGGUGUUACUGCGAAGGGGGGACGGAGAAGGCUAUGUUGGCCGGGCGACGGUUGUCCCGGUUUAAGCGUGUAGGUGUGUGUUCCAGGUAAAUCCGGUUCACUUUAACACUGAGGCGUGACGACGAGGCACUACGGUGCUGAAGCAACAAAUGCCCUGCUUCCAGGAAAAGCCUCUAAGCAUCAGGUAACAUCAAAUCGUACCCCAAACCGACACAGGUGGUCAGGUAGAGAAUACCAAGGCGCUUGAGAGAACUCGGGUGAAGGAACUAGGCAAAAUGGUGCCGUAACUUCGGGAGAAGGCACGCUGACACGUAGGUGAAGUGAUUUACUCAUGGAGCUGAAGUCAGUCGAAGAUACCAGCUGGCUGCAACUGUUUAUUAAAAACACAGCACUGUGCAAACACG